rnacentral:rRNA from 1 species
AGCAAACGCUGGCGGCGUGCCUAAUACAUGCAAGUCGAACGGGGAAAGGCUUCGGCCGAGUACUAGUGGCGCACGGGUGAGGAACACGUGGGUAAUCUGCCUUCGAGUGGGGGAUAACUAGUCGAAAGAUUAGCUAAUACCGCAUAAGACCACGAGAACUGAGGUUCUUGAGGUCAAAGGAGCAAUUCGCUCGAAGAUGAGCCCGCGUAAGAUUAGCUAGUUGGUGAGGUAAUGGCUCACCAAGGCUGUGAUCUUUAACUGGUAUGAGAGGAUGAUCAGUCACACUGGAACUGAGACACGGUCUAGACUCCUACGGGAGGCAGCAGUAGGGAAUAUUGCGCAAUGGGCGAAAGCCUGACGCAGCGACGCCGCGUGAGUGAUGAAGGCCUUCGGGUCGUAAAGCUCUGUUGCAGGGGAAUAAAAAAAUGAAGGUACCCUGUGAGGAAGGAUCGGCUAACUUCGUGCCAGCAGCCGCCGUAA